UAAAUAGCAUGCUUUUUGUGUUGAUGAAUUAUCACAGCCCAAAAAAUGGAAAUGAAUGACCGAUUAGUGUGUAUAAAAUCAAGCAUAAGUUCUCCUUCCAUCAUCAGAUGGUGAAUAUCAAUAGACAGGAAUCCGAUGAACCACCAUCAGUAUAUAUCUUCAUCAACAGCAGCAUGUGUCACCUUGCUUCUAUAGAGAAGUAUGUGGAAAAUUUUGCCACAUUUGUUCCAGUCCUUCUAUUCAAUCUUGAACUAGAUACAUUCCGGUA